GAUGAACGCUGGCGGCGUGCCUAAUACAUGCAAGUCGAGCGACCAGACGAUGAGCGUGCUCCUCUGACGGUGGCGACUGGCGGGUGAGUGACGCGUGGAUCACCUACCUCUAAUUCUGGGAUAACAUCGUGAGACCGGAUCUGCUACCGCAUAACAUGUUCUACCGCAGGGUUCAACAGUGAAUCACGCUUUGCCUGUCUCUUUGAGCUGAAUCCGCGCCGCAUUAGCUAGUUGGUAAGGUAACGGCUUACCAAGGCAACGAUGCGUAGCCGACCUGAGAGGGUGAUCGGCCACACUGGAACUGAGACACGGUCCAGACUCCUACGGGAGGCAGCAGUAGGGAAUAUUCCGCAAUGGGCGAAAGCCUGACGCAGCAACGCCGCGUGAGUGAAGAAGGUCUUCGGGUUGUAAAACUCUGUUAUUAGGGAAGAAAAGAUGUGUAAGUAACUAUGCACGUCUUGACGGUACCUAAUCAGAAAGCAACGGCUAACUACGUG
rnacentral:rRNA from 1 species